rnacentral:rRNA from 1 species
UACGUAGGGUGCGAGCGUUGUCCGGAAUUACUGGGCGUAAAGAGUUCGUAGGCGGUUUGUCGCGUCGUUCGUGAAAACUUGGGGCUUAACUCCAAGCGUGCGGGCGAUACGGGCAGACUUGAGUACUACAGGGGAGACUGGAAUUCCUGGUGUAGCGGUGAAAUGCGCAGAUAUCAGGAGGAACACCGGUGGCGAAGGCGGGUCUCUGGGCCGAUACUGACGUGAGGAGCGAAAGCGUGGGGAGCGAACAGG